CCGCGGCGCUUGGCGCCACAGUCACUUUUCCAGAUCUAGGAGCAUCAUGGACACCUCGUCAGAGAUGCUGGUACGGUUUGGACGGCGCUGUGGACGGGCGAAGGAAAGUACAGUCUUAGGUAUGUCUUUAUCAGCAGUGUGAAAACGGACUAAUACAGUAAAUUGGUACCAGCAGAGUGGGGCAUUGCUGAAAAGAUAACUGAAAAUGUGGAAGUGACUUUGGCACUGGGUAACAGGCAGAGAUUGGAACAGUUUGAAGAGCUCAGAAGAAGACAGGAAAAUGUGGGAAAGUUUGGAACUUCCUAGAGACUUGUUGAAUGCCUUUGACCAAAAUGCUGAUAGCGACAUGGACAAUAAAAUGCAGGCUGAGAUGGUCUCAGAUGGAGAUGAGGAACUUUCUGGAAACUGGAGUAAAGGUGAUUCUUGCUAUGUUUUAGCAAAAAGACUAGCGUCAUUUUACCUCUGCCCUAGAGAUUUGUGGAACUUUGAGAAAGAUGAUUUAGGGUACCUCGCAGAAGAAAUUUCUAAGCAGCAAAGCAUUCAAGAGGUGAGUUGGAUACUGUUAAGGGCAUUCAGUUUUAAAAGGGAAACAGAGCAUAAAAAUUCAGAAAAUUUGUAGCCUGAUCUGGCAGAAGAAAUUUCUAAGCAGCAAAGCAUUCAAGAGGUGAGUUGGGUACUGUUAAGAGCAUUCAGUUUCAAAAGGGAAACAGAGCAUAAAAAUUCAGAAAAUUUGUAGCCUGACUAUGCAAUAGAAAAGAAAAACCAGUUUUCUGGGGAGAAAUUCAAGCCAGCUGCAGAAAUCUGCAUAAGCAUCAAGAAGCCUAAUGUUAAUCCCCAGGACCAUGGGGAAAAUGUCUCCAGGCCAUGUCAGAGACCUUCACAGCAGCCCCUCCUGUCACAGGCCCAGAGAUCCAGGAGGAAAAAAUGGUUUUAUGGGCCAGGACCAGGGUCCCUGUGCUGUGUGCAGCCUAUAGACUUGGUGCCCUGUGUCCCAGCUGCUCCAGCCAUGGCUGAAAGGGGCCAAUGUAGAGCUCAUGCUGUGGCUUCAGAGGGUGGAAGCCCCAAGCCUUGGCAGCUUCCACAUGGUGUUGAGCCUGUAGGUGCACAGAAGUCAAGAAUUGAGGUUUGGGAACCUCCACCUAGAUUUCAGAAGAUGUAUGGAAAUGCCUGGAUGUCCAGGCAAAAGUUUGCUGCAGAGGCAGGGCCCUCAUGGAGAACCUCUGCUAGGGCAAUGCAGAAGGGAAUUGUGGGGCCGGAGCUCCCACGUAGAGUCCCUAAUGGGGCAUUAUCUAGUGGAGCUGUGAGAAGAGGGCCACCGUCCUUCAGACCCCAGCAUGGUGGAUC
rnacentral:lncRNA from 1 species